rnacentral:tRNA from 2 species
GGCCCAGUAGCUCAACGGAUAGAGCAAUUCCCUUCUAAGGAAGAGGUUGCAGGUUCGAUUCCUGCCUGGGUCACUA